AUACGGAGGAUCCGAGCGUUAUCCGGAUUUAUUGGGUUUAAAGGGAGCGUAGAUGGAUGUUUAAGUCAGUUGUGAAAGUUUGCGGCUCAACCGUAAAAUUGCAGUUGAUACUGGAUAUCUUGAGUGCAGUUGAGGCAGGCGGAAUUCGUGGUGUAGCGGUGAAAUGCUUAGAUAUCACGAAGAACUCCGAUUGCGAAGGCAGCCUGCUAAGCUGCAACUGACAUUGAGGCUCGAAAGUGUGGGUAUCAAACAGGAGUAGAUACCCUGGUAGUCCACACGGUAAACGAUGAAUACUCGCUGUUUGCGAUAUACUGCAAGCGGCCAAGCGAAAGCGUUAAGUAUUCCACCUGGGGAGUACGCCGGCAACGGUGAAACUCAAAGGAAUUGACGGGG
rnacentral:rRNA from 1 species